AUAUCAAAACGUUUUUCACAACGUUAACCCAAAUGUUGAACUGUAUCGGAAACGUUGGUGGUUUUUUGGCUAAGUUUCCGCUAACGUUUCUUUGUUUUUACAUCAAAAUUUAGCUAUUUAUUUUAACCCAAUUUCACCUCGAUAUUCAUGUGUAUGAACUUAUCAUUUUUUGAUCCGAAAGGAUUGAAAAAAUCAUACGAAACUUAAGAA
rnacentral:misc_RNA from 1 species